UACGAAGGGGGCUAGCGUUGCUCGGAAUGACUGGGCGUAAAGGGCGCGUAGGCGGUUUGUACAGUCAGGUGUGAAAUUCCCGGGCUCAACCUGGGGGCUGCACUUGAUACGUAGGAACUUGAGUGGGGAAGAGGGUCGUGGAAUUCCCAGUGUAGAGGUGAAAUUCGUAGAUAUCUGGAGGAACACCGGUGGCGAAGGCGGCAUCCUGGACCGACACUGACACUGAGGAGCGAAAGCCAGGGGAGCAAACGGGAGUUAGAAAACCC
rnacentral:rRNA from 1 species